rnacentral:rRNA from 1 species
AAGAGCCCAAGAUUGAAAGCUGGCGCCUUCGGCGUCCGCAUUGUAAUCUCAAGAAGUGUUUUCCGCUUCGGACCAUGCCUAAGUCCCUUGGAAAAGGGCAUCAUAGAGGGUGAUAAUCCCGUACAUGGCAUGGAGCGCCCGAAGCUUUGUGAUACGCUUUCUAAGAGUCGAGUUGUUUGGGAAUGCAGCUCAAAAUGGGUGGUAAAUGCCAUCUAAGGCUAAAUAUUGGGGAGAGACCGAUAGCGAACAAGUACAGUGAUGGAAAGAUGAAAAGAACUUUGAAAAGAGAGUUAAACAGUACGUGAAAUUGCCAAAAGGGAAGGGUAGGAGGUCAGAGAUGCGUCGCAGGAUUCAGCCUUGCUUUUGCUUGGUGUUUUUCCUGCGUUGCAGGCCAACGUCGGUUUUGGGCACUGGAGAAGGGUAGGAGGAACGUGGCACCUCUCGGGGUGUGUUAUAGCCUCCUACUGGAUACAGCGACCGAGACCGAGGAACGCAGCGUACUCGUAAGAGCGGGCCUUUUGGCACCUUUACGCUUAGGGCGUUGGCAUAAUGGCCCUCUACCACCCGUCUUGAAAC